rnacentral:rRNA from 1 species
GACGAACGCUGGCGGCGUGCUUAACACAUGCAAGUCGAACGGAAAGGCCCUGCUUUUGUGGGGUGCUCGAGUGGCGAACGGGUGAGUAACACGUGAGUAACCUGCCCUUGACUUUGGGAUAACUUCAGGAAACUGGGGCUAAUACCGGAUAGGAGCUCCUGCUGCAUGGUGGGGGUUGGAAAGUUUCGGCGGUUUGGGAUGGACUCGCGGCUUAUCCGCUUGUUGGUGGGGUAGUGGCUUACCAAGGCUUUGACGGGUAGCCGGCCUGAGAGGGUGACCGGCCACAUUGGGACUGAGAGACGGCGCAGAAUGCUACGGGAGGCAGCAGGGGGGAAUAUUGCACAAUGGGCGGAAGCCUGAUGCAGCAACGCCGCGUGCGGGAUGACGGCCUUCGGGUUAUAAACCGCUGUCGCCUGUGACGAAGCGUGAGUGACGGUAAUGGGUAAAGAAGCACCGGCUAACUACGUG